GUAUGUCUAGCUCAGUUGGUAGAGUACAAGACUUUUAACCUUAAGGUUGUGGGUUCAAGCUUCAUGGUGGACG
rnacentral:tRNA from 1 species